ACAGCAGCAGCCGCGGUAAUACGGAGGGAGCUAGCGUUGUUCGGAAUUACUGGGCGUAAAGCGCACGUAGGCGGCUUUGUAAGUUAGAGGUGAAAGCCUGGAGCUCAACUCCAGAAUUGCCUUUAAGACUGCAUCGCUUGAAUCCGAGAGAGGUGAGUGGAAUUCCGAGUGUAGAGGUGAAAUUCGUAGAUAUUCGGAAGAACACCAGUGGCGAAGGCGGCUCACUGGCUCGGUAUUGACGCUGAGGUGCGAAAGCGUGGGGAGCAAACAGGAUUAGAGACCCCCGUAGUCCCUGUCUCUUAUAC
rnacentral:rRNA from 1 species